UACGUAGGUGGCAAGCGUUGUCCGGAAUUAUUGGGCGUAAAGGGCGCGUAGGCGGCUUGGCAAGUGGAUGGUGAAAUUCCUCGGCUUAACCGAGGAACUGCCGUCCAAACUGCUUUGCUUGAGACCGGGAGAGGUGAGUGGAAUUCCCAGUGUAGCGGUGAAAUGCGUAGAUAUUGGGAGGAACACCAGUGGCGAAGGCGGCUCACUGGACCGGUACUGACGCUGAGGCGCGAAAGCGUGGGGAGCAAACGGG
rnacentral:rRNA from 1 species